GGUUCUAGAACCAGGCUGGCGCCUGCAGGGUGAGAGCCCUGGGUCAGGCCCGCUCUCAGCUGUCCUUUCUGCCGUGUCACCGGCCACCAGUCCACCUGGGGUCUGUCUCUUCGGCCUGCCGACUGUGCUGUUUUGGCUGCAUCUUCUCCCGGCUCGUCGGUUCUGGCAUCAUUUUAAAUCCUUUACAACACCCCGAACCCGGCACCCGAUGGGAACAAAAUGGUGGUGUGCCACAGUCUACACGAAAUUUCCCUCUGCCCCCACUAUCCGCAGGCUUCAGGCACAGUCGCCCUCCCGCUGCCGGGGGCCCGGUGCCUGGUGCCUGGAGCCGCGACUGCCCCGCGGGACGGCUCCCUCCUCAGCCGCCUGCCGCCAGAGGGCCAGGAAACCAGCCUCCUCCACGGUGUCUCGGGAAAGUGCAGUGAACACGCGCAUCCAGCUCCCGGGGUGGAGACCGCAGCACAGGCCUCACGAUUCCAGAAGUGGGUGGAAAGCUCCAGUGACUUCCUGAUGGCGGCGGCCCGAGCGCGAUGUGGAUAUACUUAGCACCAGGGUGACAGCUCCCUCCCCGGGAAGACAGCCGUGGGCGCUAAUGGGCACCAGCUGCCGUUCCAAACCUCUGUUCUGUUGGUGGGUUCCAGAGACCGUGCUUACAUCCUAAAUAGUUCCCGGCUGGUGAGCCAGACUGACGUCGCAGACCCGACACUCACACAGGGAAGCCCCUCUUUGCCCUGAAGCACCCACGUGUUGGAUCAAAGGCUCCUUCACGAGUCAAUGAAUUAAACGUUUACAAAACUG